UACAGAGGAUGCAAGCGUUAUCCGGAAUGAUUGGGCGUAAAGCGUCUGUAGGUGGCUUUUUAAGUCCGCCGUCAAAUCCCAGGGCUCAACUCUGGACAGGCGGUGGAAACUACCAAGCUGGAGUACGGUAGGGGCAGAGGGAAUUUCCGGUGGAGCGGUGAAAUGCGUAGAGAUCGGAAAGAACACCGAUGGCGAAGGCACUUUACGGGGCUAUUACUAACACUCAGAGACGAAAGCUAGGGUAGCAAAUGGG
rnacentral:rRNA from 1 species